AGCUCGAUUUUUUGCUUGUGGUCCUGGCUGGCCGUUUCUGUACCAAACUUCUUCUUGGUUUAUCCUUGCUGCAGCUGUGGGGUUGGAAACCUGCGCCCGUAUUCCGAAAAGUAUGAACGACCGAGAUCUUAUGGGCCUGGAGAUGAGAGACUGGGUGAGACUUCCGGAUGAGCGACUGUCUGAGCUGCCUGGAAGAAGAGCUGUUAUGAAGUGAGUAACUCUGCUCCACCAUGUGCUCCCCACCAUGAUGUUCUGCCUCACAAAAGGCCCAAAAAGAUGGGGUCAAGUGACCUUGUACUGAAAAUUCUGAAACCAUGAACCAAAUAAAUCUUUUCUUCUUUAAA